rnacentral:rRNA from 1 species
GACGAACGCUGGCGGCGUGCUUAACACAUGCAAGUCGAACGGAAAGGCCCUGCUUUUGUGGGGUGCUCGAGUGGCGAACGGGUGCGUAACACGUGAGUAACCUGCCCUUGACUUUGGGAUAACUUCAGGAAACUGGGGCUAAUACCGGAUAGGAGCUCCUGCUGCAUGGUGGGGGUUGGAAAGUUUCGGCGGUUGGGGAUGGACUCGCGGCUUAUCAGCUUGUUGGUGGGGUAGUGGCUUACCAAGGCUUUGACGGGUAGCCGGCCUGAGAGGGUGACCGGCCACAUUGGGACUGAGGUACGGCCCAGACUCCUACGGGAGGCAGCAGUGGGGAAUAUUGCACAAUGAGCGGAAGCCUGAUGCAGCAACGCCGCGUGCGGGAUGACGGCCUUCGGGUUGUAAACCGCUUUCGCCUGUGACGAAGCGUGAGUGACGGUAAUGGGUAAAGAAGCACCGGCUAACUACGUG